AUGAUGCACGGCCCCGCGGGAGGGAGCGGCGGCGGCGGCGGCCACGGGCUGGGCGGCACGAGGGUGCCCACGUGGAGGGAGCGGGAGAACAACCGGCGGAGGGAGCGGCGGCGCCGGGCGAUCGCCGCCAAGAUCUACACCGGCCUCAGGGCCUACGGCAACUACAACCUUCCCAAGCACUGCGACAACAAUGAGGUCCUCAAGGCGCUCUGCAACGAGGCCGGCUGGGUCGUCGAGCCCGACGGCACCACCUACCGCAGGGGAUGCAAACCUCCUCCACAAGCGCGUACUGAUCCAAUGAGGUCUGCUUCGGCAAGCCCCUGCUCUUCAUACCAGCCGAGCCCACGGGCCUCAUACAACCCAAGCCCUGCGUCUUCCUCCUUCCCGAGCUCUGGAUCCUCUUCUCACAUCACUCUUGGUGGUGGAAACAACUUCAUUGGUGGUGUCGAGGGAAGCUCCCUCAUCCCGUGGCUGAAGAACCUCUCGUCGAAUCCUUCAUUUGCCUCCUCCUCCAAGCUCCCACAGCUCCACCAUCUCUACUUCAAUGGAGGUUCCAUCAGUGCUCCAGUGACACCCCCAUCCAGCUCCCCGACUCACACGCCGCGCAUGAAGACUGACUGGGAGAGCCAAUGUGUUCUGCCACCAUGGGCCGGGGCAAACUACGCCUCCCUUCCCAACUCCACACCUCCGAGCCCUGGCCACCACGUCGCUCCAGACCCGGCAUGGCUGGCCGGGUUCCAGAUAUCGUCCGCCGGACCCUCAUCGCCGACGUACAACCUUGUUUCACAUAACCCCUUUGGGAUCGCCCUUGCGAGCUCGUCGAGGGUGUGCACCCCUGGACAGAGCGGAACCUGCUCCCCGGCGAUGGGCGAUCACGCGCCGGCUCACCACGAUGUCCAGAUGGAGAUGGUUGAAGGGGCGGCUGAUGAUUUCGCCUUCGGCAGCAACAGCAAUGGCAACAACGGAUCGCCUGGGCUGGUGAAGGCGUGGGAAGGGGAGCGGAUACACGAGGAAUGCGCCUCGGACGAGCUCGAGCUCACCCUCGGGAGCUCAAGGACCCGUGGAGAACCACCCUUCUGA
rnacentral:rRNA from 1 species